GUGGGGAAUAUUGGGCAAUGGGCGAAAGCCUGACCCAGCAACGCCGCGUGAAGGAAGAAGGUCUUCGGAUCGUAAACUUCUAUCCUUGGUGAAGAUAAUGACGGUAGCCGAGAAGGAAGCCCCGGCUAACUACGUGCCAGCAGCCGCGGUAAUACGUAGGGGGCAAGCGUUGUCCGGAAUGAUUGGGCGUAAAGGGCGCGUAGGCGGCCUGGUAAGUCUGGAGUGAAUGUCCUGCUUUUAAGGUGGGAAUUGCUUUGGAUACUGUCGGGCUUGAGUGCAGGAGAGGUAAGUGGAAUUCCCGGUGUAGCGGUGAAAUGCGUAGAGAUCGGGAGGAACACCAGUGGCGAAGGCGACUUACUGGACUGUAACUGACGCUGAGGCGCGAAAGUGUGGGGAGCAAACAGGAUUAGAUACCCCUGUAGUCC
rnacentral:rRNA from 1 species